rnacentral:rRNA from 1 species
CCCCUAGAUGUUCUGGGCCGCACGCGCGCUACACUGAACAGUUCAACAAGUCUUAACCUUGGCCGAUAGGUCUGGGUAAUCUUUGAACGCUGUUCGUGAUUGGGAUAGACCUUUGCAAUUAUGGGUCUUCAACGAGGAAUUCCUAGUAAACGCAAGUCAUCAGCUUGCAUUGAUUACGUCCCUGCCCUUUGUACACACCGCCCGUCGCACCUACCGAUUGAAUGGUCCGGUGAAAUCUCGGGACGCCGGCUUGGUCGCUUGCGUCCGACUGCUGAAACUUGAUUAAACCAUAUCAUUUAGAGGAAGGUGAAGUCGUAACA